rnacentral:rRNA from 1 species
UUCCUACGGGAGGCAGCAGUGGGGGAUAUUGCACAAUGGGGGGAACCCUGAUGCAGCGACGCCGCGUGGGUGAAGGAGCGUUUCGGCGCGUAAAGCCCUAUCGGCAGGGAAGAAGAUGACGGUACCUGACCAAGAAGCCCCGGCUAACUACGUGCCAGCAGCCGCGGUAAUACGUAGGGGGCAAGCGUUAUCCGGAUUUACUGGGUGUAAAGGGAGCGCAGGCGGCGCGGUAAGUCUGAUGUGAAAGCCCGGGGCUCAACCCUGGGUCUGCAUUGGAAACUGUCGUGCUGGAGUGUCGGAGGGGG